rnacentral:rRNA from 1 species
GACGAACGCUGGCGGCGUGCCUAACACAUGCAAGUCGAACGAAGUCUUCGGACUUAGUGGCGGACGGGUGAGUAACACGUGGGAACGUGCCUUUAGGUUCGGAAUAACUCAGGGAAACUUGUGCUAAUACCGAAUGUGCCCUUCGGGGGAAAGAUUUAUCGCCUUUAGAGCGGCCCGCGUCUGAUUAGCUAGUUGGUGAGGUAAAGGCUCACCAAGGCGACGAUCAGUAGCUGGUCUGAGAGGAUGAUCAGCCACAUUGGGACUGAGACACGGCCCAAACUCCUACGGGAGGCAGCAGUGGGGAAUCUUGCGCAAUGGGCGAAAGCCUGACGCAGCCAUGCCGCGUGAAUGAUGAAGGUCUUAGGAUUGUAAAAUUCUUUCACCGGGGACGAUAAUGACGGUACCCGGAGAAGAAGCCCCGGCUAACUUCGUGCCAGCCGCCGCGGUAACAC